rnacentral:tRNA from 1 species
GUUGUGGCUCAGUGAUAGAACGCUUGCCUUGCACGCAUGAGGCACUGGGUUCAAUCCUCAGCACAACA